rnacentral:antisense_RNA from 1 species
GGGACAGAGUCUCGCUCUGUCUCCCAGAGUGGAGUGGAGUGGCGCUAUCUCUGCUCCCUGCAACCUCUGCCUCCCGGGUUCAAGCAAUUCUCCUGCCUCAGCCUUCUGAGUAACUGGGAUUACAGGCGUGCACCACCGCACCCGGCUAAGUUUUGUAUUUUUAGUAGAGAUGGGGUUUCGCCAUGUUGGUCAGGCUGGUCUCAAACUCCUGACCCCAUGAUCUGCUCGCCUCGGCCUCCCAAAGUGCUGGGAUUACAGGCAUGAGCCACCGCACCCGGCAAUGCCGGUUAAUUUUUAUAUAUUUUUUUUUGUAGAGAUAGGGUUUCACCAUGUUACCCAGGCUGGUCUCAAACUCCUGAGCUCAAAGCGAUCCUCCCACCUUGGUUUCCCAAAGU